rnacentral:rRNA from 1 species
AGUGAACGCUGGCGGUAGGCCUAACACAUGCAAGUCGAACGGCAGCACAGUAAGAGCUUGCUCUUACGGGUGGCGAGUGGCGGACGGGUGAGGAAUACAUCGGAAUCUACUUUUUCGUGGGGGAUAACGUAGGGAAACUUACGCUAAUACCGCAUACGACCUACGGGUGAAAGCAGGGGAUCUUCGGACCUUGCGCGAUUGAAUGAGCCGAUGUCGGAUUAGCUAGUUGGCGGGGUAAAGGCCCACCAAGGCGACGAUCCGUAGCUGGUCUGAGAGGAUGAUCAGCCACACUGGGACUGAGACACGGUCCAGACUCCUACGGGAGGCAGCAGUGGGGAAUAUUGGACAAUGGGCGCAAGCCUGAUCCAGCCAUACCGCGGGGGUGAAGAAGGCCUUCGGGUUGUAAAGCCCUUUUGUUGGGAAAGAAAAGCAGCAGGUUAAUACCCCGCUGUUCUGACGGUACCCAAAGAAUAAGCACCGGCUAACUUCGUGC